rnacentral:tRNA from 1 species
GCCCGGUUAGCUCAGUCGGUAGAGCGUGCGGCUUUUACUUCACGGCCUAAUUCUGCCGGUUACCGCAAUGUCGGGGGUUCGAGCCCCCCAUCGGGCG